rnacentral:piRNA from 1 species
UCCUCCAAGAUUAAGAAACAUUGUGCCCU